AAGGGUGAGUAACGCGUAGGCAACUUGCCCCACAGUGGGGAAUAACAUGGGGAAACCCGUGCUAAUACCGCAUGAUAUCUCGAUGAUGCAUGUCAUUGAGAUCAAAGAUUUAUCGCUGUGGGAUGGGCCUGCGUUCUAUUAGCUUGUUGGUAGGGUAACGGCCUACCAAGGCUACGAUGGAUAGCUGGUCUGAGAGGAUGAUCAGCCACACUGGCACUGAGACACGGGCCAGACUCCUACGGGAGGCAGCAGUGAGGAAUAUUGGGCAAUGGGCGAAAGCCUGACCCAGCAACGCCGCGUGGGUGAUGAAGCUCUGAGGAGUGUAAAACCCUGUUAGGAGGGAAGAAACUCCCGCUUUGCGGGACUGACGGUACCUCCAGAGAAAGCUCCGGCUAACUCCGUGCCAGCAGCCGCGGUAACACGGGGGGAGCAAGCGUUGUCCGGAUUUACUGGGCGUAAAGAGCGUGUAGGCGGGACAAUUAGUCAUCUGUGAAAUCUUUCGGCUUAACCGGAAACCUGCAGGUGAAACUGUUGUCCUUGAGUUCGGAAGAGGGAAGUGGAAUUCCUGGUGUAGCGGUGAAAUGCGUAGAUAUCAGGAAGAACACCAGUAGCGAAGGCGGCUUCCUGGUCCGUAACUGACGCUGAGACGCGAAAGCGUGGGGAGCAAACAGGAUUAGAUACCCUGGUAGUCCACGCCGUAAACGAUG
rnacentral:rRNA from 1 species